UACGAAGGGGGCUAGCGUUGUUCGGAAUUACUGGGCGUAAAGCGCACGUAGGCGGAUAUUUAAGUCAGGGGUGAAAUCCCAGAGCUCAACUCUGGAACUGCCUUUGAUACUGGGUAUCUUGAGUAUGGAAGAGGUGAGUGGAAUUCCGAGUGUAGAGGUGAAAUUCGUAGAUAUUCGGAAGAACACCAGUGGCGAAGGCGGCUCACUGGUCCAUAACUGACGCUGAGGUGCGAAAGCGUGGGGAGCAAACAGG
rnacentral:rRNA from 1 species